rnacentral:rRNA from 1 species
AUUGAACGCUGGCGGCAGGCCUAACACAUGCAAGUCGAGCGGAGCGCCGGAGGGGUACGUAAUGGCUAGGAAUCUGCCGGUUAGGGGGGGAUAACGUCCGGAAACGGGCGCUAAUCCCGAAUCCUAUCCGUUGAGCCUAGGCCGGAUUAGCUAGUUGGUGGGGUAAAGGCCUACAAAGGCGACGAUCCGUAACUGGUCUGAGAGGAUGAUCAGUCACACUGGAACUGAGACACGGCCCAGACUCCUACGGGAGGCAGCAGUGGGGAAUCUGCGGCAAUGGGCGAAAGCCUGACCGAGCAAUGCCGCGUGAGUGAAGAAGGUUUUCGGGUCGUAAAACACUGUUGUUAGAGAAGCGGUAUCUAACCAGAAAGCACCGGCUAACUACGUGCCAGCAGCCGCGGUAAUAC